rnacentral:lncRNA from 1 species
UCCUAGGGCCCAGGACUGGAAUUCUGGCUCAGACCAGGAAGGAAGCAUGCAAGUAUGGAUAUGACCACCGGAGGGCACUAGAGGCCCAUCCUCAACUGUAAGUCCACCAACUUCUGCCUGGAAGGUUCCCACCCCACUCGGCCCCAGCCAGCGAGUCCGGCGGCGGUGGGGGCUACAUCUGGUCAAAGCAGGAACCAAGGCAGAGGCAAGCCCUGGGUUCACAUCCUACCUCUGGGCUCACUCAGAGAAUUGUGUUGUGCACGUCCGUUCUCUCUGAACCCCUUCCCUUAUCUGUAAAUGAGUGUGAGGCCACCCACAGACCCCAUGUGAGGAUGCCCUUCAGGGAAUCUACAGCAAAACUAAGGCACUGCUCUCCCUGCUUUUCCUCACCAACUGCUGAGAAAAGAGCCAAGCUCACGCAGGGGUCCCAUCUGUUCCGGGAGCUUUUUGCCUCAAGUAGGGGAACAUCACUGAGUUCCUCUCAUACUAUGGUCUCCAUGAAUCCGCAGAGGGCUUGGUCUCUUUGCUGGCACUAACUUGCUACCUCAGACAGGAUCUUCCUCACCAAGAAAAGGCACUAGGCAUAGGUGAAAAUAAUGGCAAACUUUAUUGGCAUAAGUCACAGAAAUUGAAAUGGGGAAAAGCCAGGUUAAAAGUUUACAGAGGAAAAAAAAAUAAAAUAAAAUCCUCAAAUAACCAUUGCCCCAGAAGGUAGACCCCAGAAACCCCAGUACCCCUAAGGGAGGGGCCUGGGGCCAGUCACUGUAAACAGAGCAAUAAGGCCUAUGGGUGGAAGUGGAGACAUCAGACCUUUGGAGGGGCCUGGCUGACCUCCCAGACUGGGGCUGCUCCUAGCCCUGUCUCAAAGGAGGGGGACCCUCUUCUGAGACCCCGGCACACUCAGUCUUUGCUAUGAAGCUAGUGGAGUGGUCUGGAUCAUCUUCACGUUAGACCCCCGCCGGGACCCCUUCUGCGGACCUGGAACGCCAGGCUUGCCUGUUGCUGUUUCAUCCUUGGGGGACAGAGCUCUGAGGGCUUCCUACUGCUUUAGCAGGAUCCUGUCCCCUCUGCCUGGAGUCCUAUCAGGCCCCCUUGCAAAAAUUUUUGGGCCCUUUUCCCCAGACCUCCAGUCUCCAGGGAGGGCAGGGGAAAUUUGGGGAAAUGCGGGGCCCAGUGGAAUCAACAAGACCAAUGGUCAAAAUCAGAUACCAGCUUUCCUGAGAAGGCAGAAGAAAAAGCCAGAGAGAAGCAGUGAGGAGGCCGAGAAUGUUCGGCAGGUUCUCUUUGCUGCCAAAAAGUUCACAGGGGAGCAGAUGCUCCUGAUGGCUUACUCAGACAGGAAGCAGCACCCCCAAAGUGUACUUUCCCCUUCUCCCCCCUCAGGAACAGGACAGAUGAGGUUCAGAACUCUAGGCCCCAAAGGGCAAGACACCCUAAGGCCAGUUUCAGUUAAGAGCUUGCUGGCCCAGGUAGUAAGGAAGGGGUUUUAAAAUACAGCAGUUUAUAUAAAACAGUCCUGGUGAGCUGUGAAGUUAAGGAAGGGGAGUCAGAGAGCUGCUCCGAAUUCACCUGCUUGUGCUAAGAAAAAAUAAAAUACAAAUUGCUUCCCCACCCCAAGCCCUCAGUACAAGGCAAAUGCCAUGCCACGGCCAUUGUCACCAACAGGACAAGUGGCCAUGGAGGAGGAGAGUACAAA